rnacentral:lncRNA from 1 species
GGCACAUCGAACACCAGGCGUCGAAGCAGGUGCUGCAGCAUGGACGGGCGGAUAUACCUGAGGACAAGCCCAGAGAGGGCGGAGAUCUUACGCGAGGCCCCGCCUUGGCGACCCCGCCCACUCCCUCCGCCGCCAUCGGCCCCUCCUCACCUGCACAGCGCCAUGAGGCAAUCCUCGAUGACGUCGCGCUGUGCUUUACAGGUAGCUAAGGUGAUCAAACAUGGAGCGCUGGUUCUGCCGGCUGAUUCGGCAGAAGUAGCAGAGGAAGCGGCAGCAGCUGGUCACCAUCUUGGGGAAGCGGAUCUCCUGCAGGGAGCAGACAGGGAGGGCCAGUGUAGUCAUCAGUAUGAGGGAAACUGAAGACACUUCACUUUUUCCAACAGGCUCAUGAGGCGGCUGCCCAGAGUACUCUCCUCCUCUGGCUCCUCCUCCUCUCCCUCCAGCUGGAUUCCUGGAGGUGGGUAAGACAGUAUGGGACGCCACUCUAGUGCUUGCUUAUUCAUCUGUUCAUUCAUUCAUUCACUCACUGACGCAUUCACUAAUCCAUUUAUUCAUUCACUCACUCAUUCAUUAGCCCAUUCAUUCAUUCACUCACUCACUCAUUAGCCCAUUCACCCACUCACUCACUCAUUCAUUCACUCAUUCAUUAGUCCAUUCAUUCACUCACUCACUCUCUCAUUCGUCCAUUCAUUCACUCACUCAUUCAUUAAUCCAUUCAUUCAUUCAUUCACUCACUCAUUCCAUUCACUCACUCAUUCAUUAGCAUCCAAUCAUCUGUCCCCUUCUCACUUAGGCAAAUUCUCUGGGAAGUUCUCCUCUUCUCCCUAUGCCCAUGUGUUUACUGACUAAGUCGUUCUGUGAAGAAUAAUCUAGAUUGAUCUAGAAUUCCUUGUCCUGCUUCCACCUCCCACGUGAUGGGAUGACCGUUGUGUGCUGACAUGCCUGGCUAUACUGAUUUUUAUUAAUUUGGGGGAAAAAUUGUUGGGUUUUUGAGACAGGAUCAUGUUGGCCAGACUUGGUCUUCAACUAGUUAUGUAGCCCAGGCUAGCCUCAAACUUGAGGUGAUUCUCCUGCUGCAGCCUCCUGAGUAGGAAGAGCGCUGAUACAAACCACCAUUCCCAGAAGCAGUGUCUUUCAGAGCAACAGGACAGAGGGGAAAGAAAAGAACAAAGUGUCGAAAGAAUAAAAAGGCAGGGCUGGAGAGGUGGCUCUUCCAAAGGUCCUGAGUUCAAAUCCCAGCAACCAACCACAUGGUGGCUCACAACCAUCUGUAAUGGGAUCUGAUGCCCUCUUCUGCUGUGUCUGAAGACAGCAACAGUGUGCUCACAUAAAAUAAAUAAAUCUUUUUUACAAAAAAGAUAGGGACUAACUUCUGCAAGCUGUCCUCUAACUGUUGCACAGAUGCACACACACACACACACUCACAUACAUACACUUAUAUCACACUCACAUACACUUCACACAUUAAUAUCUUUAAAGCAGGCUGCAGAGAUUUACUAAUCU